rnacentral:lncRNA from 1 species
AGCAGUAAGAUGACAACUGAGUUGUAUCUGAGCAUAAAUUAUGUAUUCAUGUGUGAAUUGAUCAUCAUGCACUUACACUGCCAAAGUCAAAAUACAGUGCAAACAGCAACCCAUUGCCUUCAUAAUAGAAACAUCAUAACAACGCAAUUUUCACUGCCCUGGAAAGCUGUCCUGAUAACACUGGUGGAAAGAUCGAGAUGAAUUGCAGUAUGUCCUAAUUGGGACAGUUGAAUAGAUCGAGGUGAAUUGUAGUAAGGAUGUCCUAAUUGGGACAGUUGAAUAGAUCGUGGUGAAUUGUAGUAAGGAUGUUCUAAUUGGGACAGUUGGAUAGAUCGAGGUGAAUUGCAUAUAACAAAAGUGCAUACAGAUCGCCCCAAUGAUAGAUUCUAUAUAAGAAGACAAGGUACACAUU